rnacentral:rRNA from 1 species
GUGGGGAAUUUUGGACAAUGGGCGCAAGCCUGAUCCAGCAAUGCCGCGUGCAGGAAGAAGGCCUUCGGGUUGUAAACUGCUUUUGUACGGAACGAAACGGUCCGGGUUAAUACCCUGGGCUAAUGACGGUACCGUAAGAAUAAGCACCGGCUAACUACGUGCCAGCAGCCGCGGUAAUACGUAGGGUGCAAGCGUUAAUCGGAAUUACUGGGCGUAAAGCGUGCGCAGGCGGUUUUGUAAGACAGGCGUGAAAUCCCCGGGCUCAACCUGGGAAUGGCGCUUGUGACUGCAAAGCUGGAGUGCGGCAGAGGGGGAUGGAAUUCCGCGUGUAGCAGUGAAAUGCGUAGAUAUGCGGAGGAACACCGAUGGCGAAGGCAAUCCCCUGGGCCUGCACUGACGCUCAUGCACGAAAGCGUGGGGAGCAAACAGGAUUAGAUACCCCUGUAGUCC